GACGAACGCUGGCGGCGUGCUUAACACAUGCAAGUCGAACGGAAAGGCCCUUCGGGGUACUCGAGUGGCGAACGGGUGAGUAACACGUGGGUGAUCUGCCCUGCACUUUGGGAUAAGCCUGGGAAACUGGGUCUAAUACCGAAUAGGACCACGCGCUUCAUGGUGUGUGGUGGCAAGCUUUUGCGGUGUGGGAUGGGCCCGCGGCCUAUCAGCUUGUUGGUGGGGUAAUGGCCUACCAAGGCGACGACGGGUAGCCGGCCUGAGAGGGUGACCGGCCACACUGGGACUGAGAUACGGCCCAGACUCCUACGGGAGGCAGCAGUGGGGAAUAUUGCACAAUGGGCGCAAGCCUGAUGCAGCGACGCCGCGUGAGGGAUGACGGCCUUCGGGUUGUAAACCUCUUUCAAUAGGGACGAAGCGCAAGUGACGGUACCUAGAGAAGAAGCACCGGCCAACUACGUG
rnacentral:rRNA from 1 species